GACGAACGCUGGCGGCGUGCUUAACACAUGCAAGUCGAACGAGUGGCGAACGGGUGAGUAACACGUGGGUGAUCUGCCUUGCACUUCGGGAUAAGCUUGGGAAACUGGGUCUAAUACCGGAUAGUGCAAGAUGAGCCCGCGGCCUAUCAGCUUGUUGGUGGGGUAAUGGCUAACAAGGCGCGACGGGUAGCCGGCCUGAGAGGGUGUACGGCCAGAUUGGGGCUGAGAUACGGCCAAGACUCCUACGGGAGGCAGCAGUGGGGAAUAGUGCACAAGGGGCUGAAGCCUGAUGCAGCGACGCCGCGUGGGGGAUGAAGGCCUUCGGGUUGUAAAGUUCGUUCGUUAUUGAGGCGUUAAAUACAGAAGAAGCACCGGCUAACUCCGUGCCAGCAGCCGCGGUAAUUC
rnacentral:rRNA from 1 species